UUAUGGCCAUAUCACAUUAAAACACUGGUUCUUGUACGAUCACUCAAGUUAAGAAACAUCCAGCCUAGUCAGUACUUAAAUGGGUGACCACUUGGGAAUACCAGGUGCUGUAA